ACGCUCGACACCUACUGGAGGCAGCAGUGGGGAAUAUUGCACAAUGGGGGAAACCCUGAUGCAGCGACGCCGCGUGAAGGAAGAAGUAUCUCGGUAUGUAAACUUCUAUCAGCAGGGAAGAAAAUGACGGUACCUGACUAAGAAGCCCCGGCUAACUACGUGCCAGCAGCCGUGGUAAUCUGAGCGGGCUGGCAAGGC
rnacentral:rRNA from 1 species